rnacentral:rRNA from 1 species
UACGUAGGGCGCAAGCGUUGUCCGGAAUUAUUGGGCGUAAAGAGCUCGUAGGCGGUUUGUCGCGUCUGCUGUGAAAGUCCGAGGCUCAACCUCGGAUCUGCAGUGGGUACGGGCAGACUAGAGUGUGGUAGGGGAGACUGGAAUUCCUGGUGUAGCGGUGAAAUGCGCAGAUAUCAGGAGGAACACCGAUGGCGAAGGCAGGUCUCUGGGCCACUACUGACGCUGAGAAGCGAAAGCAUGGGGAGCGAACAGG